rnacentral:lncRNA from 1 species
GAAUAUUAUUAGUUUUGUGUGCAACUUAUCUUAGAGUGACCAUGUAUGUCAGUAUACUCAAGUAACUGAAUGUAUUCACGUUAACUAUGUUAAGUACUAGUAGAUUCAGAAAUUUAGUUCAUAGAAUUAUUGGUAGGAGCAGUAAACGAGUCAAACAAAAAUAUCCAUAUGCAAAUGUCGGUCUAUGUUUGAUUCAAUUUGGUUUUCUCUGCUACUGAAGCUCCUAUCCGGUCUAAUGUUUUUUGUUUUGUCUCUUUUUCUGUUGCUAGGAAAGUGAUGAGAAGAUGUCGAUGAUGCCUACUGGGGACAUUCAAAUCAACACAACAUAAAAAUUUCUGAACCUAUGUCUCAUAGGAGAGUGGAAUGAACUCCAUUGUUAGCAGAUGUGUCAUUGUUUUAUUUUGCAAUUAUGUCCGCUCUUGCUAUAUUCCUAUGUAAGGAAAUGUAUUUAUGAGAUGAUUUAUUGUGUUAUGUAAACCUGAGAGAUGUAUUAUGUGAUGUUAUAUGAUGGAUGAUUUUAAUUUGAGUUGGAGUAUUCUUGAUUUGAAUAUGAAAUAGUGUUGGAUUUAAUAUUGGACAAAUAAUUGGGUUGCAAAGGCCCAACAAAUAGAAAUGAAACCAAGUUCAGGAACAAAA